AACCUCACUAGAAUGUAAAAAAUACAUUUCAUUAGUUUUGGUCUCAUACAGAUGUAACGCAGUGUUCUGUGGGAAAUGCAUUUAUGGGGUAAUUUCAUUCUCACAAAAAAUAAAAAUAAAACAUGGUUGGAUCAGCAGAUUAACUCCAAACAGGUUUGAUUAUUUUUAAGGUGAUGGAGGUUUGUAGACAAUCACACGUAUUUAUGUAGCUGCAUAAAGGUGAGCCGCUAACUGUGGAGCGCUUUGGCUCUGAUGGAGAACAUCGCUAAUGGAAGGAUUCAGAGGGAGCGAUUGAUCACAUUGAUCUGCUGGCAAAUGUUGAUGAUGGUUUAUUAGUGUUAUAUUAAUCCAGACUAAUUAUCCUGGAGCUCUAAGCAGAACUUAUAGAAGGAGUCGUGUGGUACCGGUACCGGUCCAGAUGCAGUCAUCCUUCAGUGGAGCUGCCAGCUUUGUGAAUGCGCCUUUUUGGACAGAAAGUAUAUCUACUCUUUAAAUGUACAACUUAUGCACAUGAUUCCACUACUUAAUAAACGUCCAUUUUACCCACUCAAAUAACUCUCUGUCUUAAAAUCCUGACUGAACGCUCUGCUCCUCAAACAGGCAUUUGCACGAUCUCUUAGUUUACUUUUUAUUAUUAUUAUUUGGAUUUUUUUCUUUCUUUAAAAUGUAUUAUUUUUAUUUUUGUGAGGUUACCUUAUGUUCAUUGAAAGCACCUUUUAAAUAAUAUAUAUAAUUACUAUUAUUAUAAAUACUUAUACGGCUACAAACAAGGACAUUGCCAUGGUUAUUGCUUCCCGUGGUGGCAGACUUCCGGGUAUUUAUACUAAUUUACAUAUGUAAUAAUGGAGGCGACAGGGCGGACCAGCAGCUGCGCUCUAUUUACCGCAAAUUUGGAUGUACAAAGGAAAGGUGCGCGGCCACGUGCGUGCGCACAGCUUUAUACAUCUGAAUUUUUUUGUGCGCCGCACUUUUCUAAAUUUUUCCCUACACCAAGUUUUAGUGUGAAAACUGCGCACUCUUUUCUGCAUGAGGCCCCUGGUCAGCUGAGUUUAGAUAAUAGGCU